UACGUAGGGUGCAAGCGUUAAUCGGAAUUACUGGGCGUAAAGCGUGCGCAGGCGGUUCGUUGUGUCGGUGGUGAAAUCCCCGGGCUUAACCUGGGAAUGGCCAUGGAACUGGCGAACUGGAGUGCGGCAGAGGGGGUGGAAUUCCGCGUGUAGCAGUGAAAUGCGUAGAGAUGCGGAGGAACACCGAUGGCGAAGGCAGCCCCCUGGGCUAGCACUGACGCUCAGGCACGAAAGCGUGGGAGCAAACAGG
rnacentral:rRNA from 1 species